GAACUCUAGAACCGUUCAAGCUAGAGACGCCCAACCAACUUUCACCUGUCCCAGCUAUCCUAUUCUAUCAAUCAUAUUACCUCAAGACAAGCUAGCAAGCACACGCAUUUACUUCAGGAAAUGUACUAUGAGUUUUUACUUGACCUUAGUUACCACCAGUGAAGUGUUGCUUCCAUACAGUGGCAGAUGUAGGUAUAGGCGACAUGAGCAGCUGCCCAGGGCGUCAUCUUGCUGGGGGCAGCACGGGGCGCCCACGCAAAAAAAUGUGGAAUUGUGACAUUUGCUCGAUUGGUUUUCUAUCGCUCAUUUGCACGUUACGUCAAUUAACCGUGGGCGCCCUGAUUCUAGUUUGUGAGCUAGGCAGGCUACUGCUUGUGAAGGUCUCGCACUCAGAAGUACGGGGGCCGCUACCAAAUUAAACCAAAGACAUAUUGUUUCAUUUUUGAAGGGGGGGUUCGCACAGGGAGCCAUACAAGCUAGAACCGCCACUGCUUCCAUGUGAGACCAGUAUGCCUACUAUUACGGAUGGGGAAGGGACAUAAUGUAUGAAUCGAAUUGUAUUGUGGUCCACGCGCAAAACGCUACCACACAGUCCACUGCCAUGACUGCUCCGAUCAAAGCUGGCGACGUGAGUUCUAACAUGACCAAGAUGCCCGAUGUCACUACCAAGAACAUCACCAUUCCCAAAGGAGCCAGUGCGUCCUUGCAGUCCAGCCACGUCACGCUCCUCAUCCACAUUGCGGUGGUGGGUUCGCUCAUACAGGGCCGUUUCUAGAGUACUCAUGUGCACUGAACACACAGCCAGGAUUAACAUCGGCGGCCUAGCUGGGCAAACUGUUUAACAAAUCAAUUUUAAACAUUUCAUUGAGGACGGUCAUGUGCGCAAAUUGGGAAGUACCGGACGAGAACACCUUUCUACUUCACGCAUGGGAAUUCAUAUUUGCGCUCAAACCAGUAGGCCUACCCAUUCCGUGGACACUGACAAUCACGUGACAAGCACGUGGACAAGCACAUAUGGCCUAACGUGUGGUCCACUCUGUGGAGGCAGGCUAUGAGGAUGUACGAAACUCCUUACUUGUUUGCUUCCUGUGUACAGACGACAGGGGUCGUUAGUGAUUGUUUUGCAGUUUAUGCAGUGUACAUUUUUGUUGUGCUAGGGGACAAUGUUGGUUGAUGCUUACGCAUCCAUUUAUCUGACCUGUUGCAUGUGUCCAUACAGUGGUAUUUCUAUUCCUGCAACUGCAAAGGAUACUUUGUCAGAGGGUUGAUGUACACUUGUGAUUUUUGUGUAGUAUAACGUUUAUUGUAAAAACAUCAUGAUAUAACUGUUGCAGCCUAAUAUGCUCAUAGAUUGUUCAAUAAAGUUUUGACAUGUACUUGU